rnacentral:tRNA from 1 species
AUCACGGCGAGCCACGAGCCCGACAACGGCUUUCUGCGCGAGCCUCAGUCCCCUUCCGCGGGCCGGCACCCAGGGCGAGCCUCUGUGCCUCGGUUGGGUGGUGAGGGCAGGUGCGAGCUGUGAAGUCCGUGGGUCGAUGCCAUCCUCGCAGGCGCAGUAUGUCCCCAAGCGCGUUGGAGACCUCCAUCGCCCUCCGCUCCGCCGUGGCUGGAGCACCCCGGGAGGAGACAAACUGCUGCGGGCUCCUUCCAAAGAGCUGCGGAGCAAACCAGCCGCACAGAGACGCCGCCAGCCUGCAGAGACCACAACCACCCCGCCAGCCCCGGGUUCCCUAACACACGGCCUGGCCGCCCGUUUCCGGGAUGUGUUUUGGUGUCUCCACACCACAUGGUUUCCGAGUUAAAUUGGUUCGAGGGUGCUCUGAUUACGAAUUGCGUUGCGGUCGCCCAGUGGUGCAACGUUUAUCUGCUUUAUUAAAAUCUGGUCCGUUCCUGUGCUUUGGCAACUUGUGGUUCCUAAUUUUCCUUUAUUAACAAAGGAUUCCCACUCUACCCACCCAUUCCCAAAUAAACCAGAGAUAGCAGGUGGAGGUUGUCCACAGGUGCCCCCCACCCCUAAUAAAAAUUGGCUUUGUUGUUUUCGUUACCAGAGGCCAAUCAUAAAUAACCAUAACCGUGACAGGCAAGGUAAGGCUGUUUUGUACAUAAGCCGGGGUGCUGGGUGGGAUUCGGGGAUUUCUGAGUAGGAUGGAGGAAUGUGCUUUGUCUGCAGACGGUUCCACAAGUAAACUUAAUUAAUUAGGAAAGGCUGUUAAAAGCCUGGGUCGUCCCUGGGUGGGCUCGAACCACCAACCUUUCGGUUAACAGCCGAACGCGCUAACCGAUUGCGCCACAGAGACGGUGCAGUGUAUCAUGCGGCGUCUCCUUGGUGAGCCAAGAGUCACCACGGCGGAUACACCUGGGGCAACCAGAGGCGGCGACCGUGCAGCCAGAGCCGGAGUCCUCGAAGCCAACGGAACCCGCGCUUCCGCGCCCGCAGCCAAAGUUCGUACGGACGUUACGAACCACGCAAGAGCCGCCCGCGCAUCCGGGACCCCGCCGCCGCCACAUGGGGUUCGGGGACUCCGCGCGGGCAGGAUCGGGGUCGGUCCGAGCGCUCCGCAGGCUCACUCCGCUUAGCAGGAAAUGUUUCCCUGGUGCGUGCUAAGGUAGGCACAACGAAACAGAUUACUAAAAACGCUUUUAGGCUUUUAAGAUAGCCGUUUCUAGGGCUGGCUCGCGCAGGAAAUGGAGGGAAAGAACGAGAACCUGAAUUCAAAAGCAUCUGACUUUUGUUACAGGAAAUGCCAGGGGAGAGCGCGAACGCAGUCCCCCACUACCACAAAUUAUGCAGUCGAGUUUCCCGCAUUUGGGGAAAUCGCAGGGGUCAGCACACCCCAAGUGCAAUGGGUGGGCCUCGCCCUGGGAAAACCACCUACUUGAUCAUGGUAUCUCCCCUGCCAGGGGUCAGCACACCCCAAGUGCAAUGGGUGGGCCUCGCCCUG